rnacentral:rRNA from 1 species
UUGGAGGGCAAGUCUGGUGCCCGCAGCCGCGGUAAUUCCAGCUCCAAUAGCGUAUAUUAAAGUUGUUGCAGUUAAAAAGCUCGUAGUUGGAUUUCGGGGUUCUACCGUUGGUCGGGCUUUGUCUGUACUGGCGUGUAGAAUUUCUACCUUCUGGGGAACCACCAUGUUAUUAAUUUAGCGUGGUGGGAAACCAGGACCUUUACCUUGAAAAAAUUAGAGUGUUCAAAGCAGGCUUAUGUCUGAAUACAUUAGCAUGGAAUAAUAGAAUAGGACGGUGGUCCUGUUUUGUUGGUUUCUGAAUCACCGUAAUGAUUAAUAGGGAUAGUUGGGGGCAUUAGUAUUCAAUUGUCAGAGGUGAAAUUCUUGGAUUUAUUGAAGACUAACUUCUGCGAAAGCAUUUGCCAAGGAUGUUUUCAUUAAUCAAGAACGAAAGUUAGGGGAUCGAAGACGAUCAGAUACCGUCGUAGUCUUAACCAUAGACUAUGCCGACUAGGGAUCGGACGAUGUUAAUUUUUCUUGACUCGUUCGGCGCCUUACGGGAAAC